rnacentral:rRNA from 1 species
UACGUAGGCAGCGAGCGUUGUUCGGAAUUACUGGGCGUAAAGAGUGUGUAGGCGGUGUUCCCAGUCUGUUGUGAAAUCUCCCGGCUUAACUGGGAGGGUGCAGCGGAAACUAGAAUGCUAGAGGGUGGGAGAGGUAAGCGGAAUUCCUGGUGUAGCGGUGAAAUGCGUAGAUAUCAGGAGGAACACCGGUGGUGUAGACGGCUCUCUGGACCGUAACUGACGCUGAGACACGAAAGCGUGGGUAGCAAACAGG